AAACUCAUAAACCCCAAUGAAGCGAAUUAAGGGCUAUUUAAAGGGGGUACAGCUCCUUUAAAAAAGAAUACAAUCUCUACGAGCGGAUAAAUAACCAUAGAACCAAAACCAUUGUGGGCCCUCAAGCAGCCAUCAACGAAGAGUGCGUCAAAGCUCUACACUUCAAAAAUAUAAAAACUUUAUGAAUCCCUCCUCACUAACAGGCUAACCUAUAUUUCAAUAGGAGAAUUAAUGCUAGAAUGAGUAACUCGGGUCCUCCCUCUACGACGCAAGCUUACAUCUAUACAUUAUUAACAAGACACCAAUAUACGACUAAUCAAACAAGCAGAGUAUUAGAUAACUUGUUAACCCGACAGAGGAGCGUCCAUUAAGAAAGAUUAAAACCUGUAAAAGGAACUAGGCAAACACGUCAAGGCCCGACUGUUUACCAAAAACAUAGCCUUCAGCAAACCAACAGACAAGUAUUGAAGGUGAUGCCUGCCCGGUGAUCUAAGGUUUAACGGCCGCGGUAUCCUAACCGUGCAAAGGUAGCGUAAUCAAUUGUCCCAUAAAUCGAGACUAGUAUGAAUGGCUAAACGAGGUCUUAACUGUCUCUUACAGGCAAUCAGUGAAAUUGAUCUCCCUGUGCAAAAGCAGGGAUAAACCCAUAAGACGAGAAGACCCUGUGGAACUUUAAAAUCAGCGACCACCCCAGACGUUCAACAAACCCCACUGGGCUCACCACACGUCACGGGCUACUGGUCUGCAAUUUUUCGGUUGGGGCGACCUUGGAGAAAAACAAAUCCUCCAAAUAUUAGACCACACCUCUAGACUGAGAGCAACCCCUCAAAGUGCUAAUAGCAACCAGAUCCAAUAUAAUUGAUCAAUGGACCAAGCUACCCCAGGGAUAACAGCGCAAUCUCCCCCGAGAGUCCGUAUCGACGGGGAGGUUUACGACCUCGAUGUUGGAUCAGGACAUCCUAGUGGUGCAGCCGCUACUAAGGGUUCGUUUGUUCAACGAUUAAUAGUCCUACGUGAUCUGAGUUCAGACCGGAGUAAUCCAGGUCGGUUUCUAUCUAUGAUGAACUCUUCCCAGUACGAAAGGAUAGGAAAAGUGAGGCCAAUACCACAAGCAAGCCUUCGCCUUAAGUAAUGAAUGCAACUAAAUUACGAAAGGCUUUCACCCCACACCACGUCCUAGAAAAGGACUA
rnacentral:rRNA from 1 species